rnacentral:sRNA from 1 species
GUCCUCUCAGCAUGGGGGUCCCGCGGCCUCAGCCCUGGGCGCUGGGGCUCCUGCUCUUUCUCCUUCCUGGGAGCCUGGGCGCAGAAAGCCACCUCUCCCUCCUGUACCACCUUACCGCGGUGUCCUCGCCUGCCCCGGGGACUCCUGCCUUCUGGGUGUCUGGCUGGCUGGGCCCGCAGCAGUACCUGAGCUACAAUAGCCUGCGGGGCGAGGCGGAGCCCUGUGGAGCUUGGGUCUGGGAAAACCAGGUGUCCUGGUAUUGGGAGAAAGAGACCACAGAUCUGAGGAUCAAGGAGAAGCUCUUUCUGGAAGCUUUCAAAGCUUUGGGGGGAAAAGGUGAGACUCCGGUCUGGAGGGGCAAGGGGCCGGGUCCAUGCUCCGGGGCCCCGCUUACCUGUGUUUGGGCGCCCCAGGUCCCUACACUCUGCAGGGCCUGCUGGGCUGUGAACUGGGCCCUGACAACACCUCGGUGCCCACCGCCAAGUUCGCCCUGAACGGCGAGGAGUUCAUGAAUUUCGACCUCAAGCAGGGCACCUGGGGUGGGGACUGGCCCGAGGCCCUGGCUAUCAGUCAGCGGUGGCAGCAGCAGGACAAGGCGGCCAACAAGGAGCUCACCUUCCUGCUAUUCUCCUGCCCGCACCGCCUGCGGGAGCACCUGGAGAGGGGCCGCGGAAACCUGGAGUGGAAGGGCACUUGCACUGUUGCCUAGACUGGAGUGCAGUAGCAGGAUUAGAGUUCACUGCAGCCUCAACCUCCCAAGCUCAAGCGAUCCUCCCACCUUACCCUUCCUGAAUGGAUGGGGCCACAG